AGAAGGAAAAAAAAAUGCUGGUUGUUGCUUCUAGGCCUUUUGGCUGCAAUCAAGUGUCGUAUCCGUUCUUGC